rnacentral:lncRNA from 1 species
UCUCUCGUCCUCUUCUUCUCUUGGCCUUAGGUAUCAUCGUUGGCCAUUAGUUUCAUCGAAAAUCCAAGAAAAGGAAAUCCCUUGUUCUAGUUAUAUUUUGGCAGAUUUCUAUUCCUUUGCACAAUUGUUUCCGCCAUUGGUGAUCAUUAUACUGAAAACUUUGGCCUCUGGCCUAUGCCGGAAGCCCAACCACCGACGAGCAGGUUGGGACU